CACACAGAUUCAAUGCAACCCCCAUCAAAAUACCAAUGACAUUCUUUACAGAAUUAGAAAAAUUGAUUCUUAAAUUCAUUUGGAAAAAUAAGAGGCCCAGAAUAGCCAAAUCAGUACUGAGCAAGAAAAGUGACUUAGGAGGCAUCACAACAUCUGAUCUGAAGUUACAUUAUACAGAACUGUAGUAACCAAAACAGCAUGGUGUUGGCAUCAGUAUAGACAUGAAGAACAAUGGAAUAGAGUAGAAGACACAAAAGACAAAUCCACAUAUCUAAGGCCAUCUGAUACUUGAUAAAGGUGCCAAAAAAAUAGAUUUUGUAGGAAUAACAGUUUUUUUAAACAAAUGGUGCUGAGAAAAUCGAAUGGCUAUAGUAGAAAAAUGAGACUAGAUCCCUAUCUCUCAGCCUGCACAAUAGUCAAAUUGAAAUGAAUCAAAGGUCUAGGAAUUAGACCAGAAACCUUGCAACUGCUAGAAGAAAACAUCGACUCAACACUCCAUCAUAUAGGUGCAAGCACCAACUUCCUCAACAAGACCCCUAAAGCUCAAGAUAUAAAAUCAAGCAUCAAUAAGUGGGAUCCCAUCAAAUUAAAAAGCUCCUUCACAGCAAAGAAAACAAGAGUGUGAAGAGAGAGGCUACAGAAUGGGAGAAAAAUCUUUGCCCAGUGUUCCUCCAAGACAAAUUUGUUUCUUUGUAUUCAUCCACCUCUUUAUUCAGUCUCUUGGCACCUUCUGCUCUAGUGGCUCAUUUUUGAAUUUUCCAGAAGCAUAUGCCAUGCUUCAAUGGACCAUAUCCCAACACUGUCCUUCAAUCAACUCACUCACUUCUAAAAGGGAACAGUCAUUAAGGAUCAUUCAAAUGACUAGCUUUUAUAUUCUUUCCCUAAUG
rnacentral:lncRNA from 1 species